rnacentral:rRNA from 1 species
CAUAAUCACUUGACUUUUAAAUGGAGCCUGGAAUGAAAGAAAGAACGUAAACAACUUGUCUCAUUAAUAGUAUCUUAAAAUUGCUGUAGGAGUGAAAAUACUCUUAAUUUUAAAAAUAGACGAGAAGACCCUUAGAAUUUUUAAAAUAUAUAAGCAGGUCUUAUAAAUAUUUUUGUUGGGGCAACAAUAUUUCACUUAAUAAAUAUUUAUUUAAAGAAUAUGUCGAUUUAAUAAUUAUAGUAAAAUUACCUAAGGGAUAACAGCAUAAUAUUAAUAAUAAGCUUGUGACCUCGAUGUUGGACUAGGUACUAUUAAGGCUAAUCGUUUUAAUAUAAUAUGUUCUGUUCGAACUUUACUACCUACAUGAUC